AUCAACUCCCUCCCCUCAGGGUGCAGAGACCUAUGCAGAAAAUGCGGUAAAAUAUUGCAAGAGCCAAUGGAUGGAAGACACCAAAGAAACAGUGUCUUCCAGACGCAACAGGGCUGAUGCACUUGUGAGCUCACACCAGGGAAACAGUAUCUUCCAGAAACAAUAGGGUGGACGCACAUUCAAACUCAUGAAGAUGUGGCAGUAAACACAGGGCCUGCACAGGUCCAAGCCAAAUGGGGGAAGUGAACAUGAACCCCUAUCCCUAACUGAGAAGCUCUCUCCAGCUGGCAAUGUCUCACAAAGGAAAAGCUGGUCUCUCUAAUGGAGUCUCACUGGGUGUACAGAUCACAGGGUAUGGAGAGAUGGAUCUGUGGUUAAAAGCACUGACUGCUCUUCCAGAGGACCCAGGUUCAGUACCCACAUGGCAGAUCAUAACCAUCUGGGAUUCCAGUUUCAGGUGAUCUGAUGCCACCUUCUGGCCACCAGUGGUACUGCAGACACAUGGUGUACAAACAUUCAGUCUUCAUACUCAUCCACAUAAAAAUUUUAAGAAAAGCGUUCAAAAAUGUUGAAAUAUUCUUGUUAUGCUUCACAGUGUAUUUGUAGCCCACUGUCCUGAUGUACUUGUCAAAUGUCUGCCUCUUCCUCCCCAGAACUUGUGAAUACUUUCCUUACAAUGCAAGAGAGGUUUUAGAGAAAUGAUUAACUUAGGGAGCCUGAGGUGGGAGAUGAUUGUGACUGUUCAGGUGGAGUCGAUGGGCUUUGGGGACAGGGGAAGGGGUCAUGAGCCAAGGAAAAGGGGCAGCCUUUAAAGCAACAGAAACCUCUAGGGAGAACGCAGUCUUGUCGAUGCUUCAAUGUUAGCUCAGUGAAACGCAUGGAACGCUAAAUAAAAUUUGAAUAAAUUUGUUUUUAUUUAAGCUA